UGCUAAUUCUGUUGUAUUUUAUUCUCCCCAGUGCUUAGUACAGUACUCAGCACAUAAUAAGCACUCAAUAAAUAUCAUUGAUUGAUUGGUUAGUGCUUGAGCAUAUAGCCAUGAAGACAUUGACUAUAUUUCAGAAAUUUUAUUCAGUUAAAAAUCUGGAUUCUUCAAAAGCGAUGUCUUAGAUUUUGAAUUACCUGAGAGCAGAGACCUAGCUUUCUUUAUUCUCUGAAAACCUCCCGGAAGGUUUUAGAUUUGAUUUGAUGGUGAUGCCAGCGAUGUUGACAAUUAUGAUGCAGGCAUCUGAAUCAUAAUGCUCUUUCUUUCAUCGGAUGUUAAUGCCUUGUGACACAAAAAACCAGAGGCACUGUGUCACUGACUUUUCCAGCAGUUGAAAAAUGCCACUAUCAUCACAGGGAUAUAGCUUCAGGCAAGAGGCCCACGACAAGGACAGGCUGCUGACUUCAGCUUGCUGGCUAAAUCGCGGGACCCAGCGGAGAAGAUGAUCUUUUUUGAGACUAGCCUUCUUCUGACGUUGAAUCUCUGUGAAAUUGCAGAAGCAGCAGCAGCAGCAGAUGGAGAUCUUCUCACCGACUACUGUUACUAUGGAGCCCCAAAAAUUCACAACGUAGAUUCCCAAAUGGGAUGACAAGGAGUGAAAACAGCUUCCUAAUGUCAGUGCCUCUAGGAAAUCAAACUGUCACAGAAAAGCAAGUCAGCACAAACUAAAAUGGCAACAGCAAAAUAAAAAAAAAAUUCAAAACCAGAAAGCUUCAGAACAUAUGAUGUUGAGUGGAAACAUCAAUACGACAUCUCUAAAAUCCACCUUUUCCUCUCCAACCAAACGCUACCGCAUCGAUACGAGCACUUAGUCUCUCCCACCUUGAAUACUACAUCAGGCUCCUUGCUGACCUCCCUGCCUCCUGUCUCUUCCCUACCCCAGUUCAUACUUCACUCUGUUGCCUGGAUCAGUAUUCUACAAAAGAGUUAAGUCCGUGUUUCCCCACUCCUCAAGAAUCUCCAGUGUUUGCCCAUCCAUCUCCCAUCAAAGACUCCAUAACAAUGGCUUGAAAUCACUCACUUUACUGCCUCCU
rnacentral:lncRNA from 1 species